AGUCUGCUGUGACGAGUUCAGUCCGUGUUUCAGCUGAUCUACCCUGAUUACACACAUGCCCUGAGCAGACU
rnacentral:snoRNA from 1 species